GUGAGGGGGAAGAAGGAGAGGAGAGAGAAGAAUGCAUUUUUCCCCACAUUCUAGUAUUGUGCAACUAUACUAGGUGUGGUUGAUAUCCACAUGUUGAAUAGGAAAUAGUGUUUAGUUUCCCUGACAUAACUUGGUAGUUUAUUUCCAAUUUUUAAUAAGACAUUUCUAGAACAAUCAAGAGGACCAAAUUAGAAUAUAUGAAAGUGACAUUGUCAAGGUAAACACAGCCCUUAAAAUCAUCCACCACUUGGAAUUUAUUAGCCUCAUUCUUAUUCCCUCCCCCUACCAUAGGCCAGACAGCCAUAAUGGCAGUAGAUGGAGAACGGGCUGUAUGUGUCUUCCUUGUCAUAGCUUAACCUUGUGGACAAUAUGAACCAAGUUAGACAAUUUAAGAAGAAUGGAGGCACCUUGGUGUGCUCUGUUUCUCUCUGCGUUCCUAGGCCUGGUAGACAGGCUCUAUUUGUUUGAGAACCAAUGUCUCUUCAGAGUCUUACAAGAUAAAUGAACAAAAUGUUUGAGUAGAUAAAUGCAGAGCAAGCCAAGAUGACGAAUACUGAACAUAAGAGCCAAGCAAAUGUUAGAAUCUUAAUUUACAGGAUCUACAUUAUACCAUCACUACUUAGUAACCGUCCCUGGUGGGUGCUACGUACCCGUUGCUAUUAAAACAUUUACACAACCAAUCUAGAAAACUGACUCUCAGGCCCUCGUGAAGAUCCCUAAUCCACAGAGGGCCCAGGUUUCUUCCUUCCAGUGUCAGGACCUGAUGCUCAAGUCUGAGGAUCAGCUGGAUGACAGAAGGGUGUUUCAGAACUCCUGGGAACCAGAACAGAGAUCUUAAGUGACAGAAGAUUUCAGAAAGAACAGCUCUCCUCCGCUGCAUUGGGUGAUGCCAUUUUUCCCAGGUGAGCACACACUAAGUAGAGUGGAGCUUAGGUUGACCUUUCCUUCUGUGGCAUACUCAGUGUAGUGUACAUCAGGACUGUCAUGAGCCUGUUGUUUUGAGAGGUCUCUGCUAGCCACCAGCACUCAAAUUGACCAAGUGUUCACCAGUGGAUAAACAGAUAAAGAUGCCCCCCUUUCAAUCCUCACUCCUGUGAUUUGUGACAAUAUAGAGGAACCCCAGGGGCACACAUUAAAUGAAAUAAUGUUUGAGGUGCCCAAAGAUAAGUGUUGUACGAUCUCAUCCAUAGACAUUGUAUAGAUGUAUAGAGGUCUAUACAUUGUAUUAACAGAGACUAAGGUGGGGAAGGAGAGGGAGCUAGCAAAGAAGUUGAUCUUUGGGUACAAACUUACAGUUAGGAUAAGCAAGUUUUGGCAUAUGACUGCACAGUAGAGUGACUACAUCAAUGAUAACAGUUAAUAUUUCAAAAAACCUAGAAGAGAUGAUCCUCCUUAUUGGUAUUAUAAUAAUUGAAGAAAGGAUUUUAAUAUUCUACUGCCAAGACAGGAUAAAUGUUUUGAAGCCAUGAGUAUAAUUCCCAUGACUCGAUCACUGGAUAAUGUUUGUAUAAUGUGUAACUAUUGUGUUAGUUUUCUGUCAGCCUAACACAGACUAGAGUCAUCUGGAAGAAGGCACCUCAGCCAAGAAAAUGACCUCUUCAGAUUGGCUUGUGGGCAAGUCUGUGGGGGGGCAUUUUCUUAGUAAAGGAUUGAUGUUCGAGGGCGCAGUCCACUGCGGGUGGUGCCAACCCUGACAGGAGGUUCUGAGUUGUAAAAACAAACGCUGAGGGAGCCAUGGGGAGCAGGCCAGGAAGCAGUGUUUCUCUUGCUUCCAGGUGACUGCCCUGACUUUCCGUCCUAAUAGACUAAGCUGGAGUUUUGUAAGGCCUUCCCAAGCUGCUUUUGGCCACGAUGUUUAUCACAGCAACAGAAAGUAAAUUAGAACAUGCAUAUUGAAGUUCAUGUUGUACCCCCACAGAUGUAUAUAAUCAUUUUAUAUACAUACAUAUAUACAUACAUAUGUCCGUAAGUGUGUGUGUGUGUGUGUGUGUGUGUCCGUGUGUCCGUGUGCACGUAUGCACGUGUGCAUAUCUACAGCUGCCGAAAAUCUGCUGUUGAGAGAAAGGAAGUCACCAGUGAGAGGUGGCUAUAUGCGAAACUCCUCUUUUCUUUGCUGCUACAUGGGCACUCUCCAGGGAGGAAGCUUUGAGCACAAGGAAGGGGGAGGCUUUUAACUUCAGCAUUUCUGUUCCUAGUCCUAAGCUAGGGGUGGUUUGCUGAGACCGAAAACUCCAUCAGAGGAAGACAUGUCCGCUAACUGCGGCUAAGUAUGAAUUCCUACCGGGAUUAGAAUUCGCACACCCUGACUUCCUAACUGAGACUCUCUUGGAGAACUGGGCCAAACUGGAACUUUAGAAACCUUGGUAGAAAACAGGAGUCUUGGCUUCUAGAAGACAGGAGGGACCAGAAGGGUCUGAAAGGCCCCUGCAUCAAAACCCUAAACUUCUGGUUGUCUUGGUUGAUGCGAUCCUUGAACAGGACUUCCUCAGAAGUGCCCCAGCAAAGCCAGCCUGAUCCAGCACCUCCAGGUGUGAGCAGAGCAGCCUCAGGAAUUCCCAGGUCCAGAUACUUCUAAGAAGAGGCACAGAGAGUUGUUAGAGAAUCCCUUGGUAUGGUAUUUUGCCCAGCGUCAACUGUCAACUUGACAUAGUCAAGAGCCAAUUGCUAAGAGAGUCUCAAAUGAGUGUCCUUUUCAGCAAUCUGGAAGCUGAAAUAAGCCCUUUCCUUCUUAAAGGGGGUUUUGGUCACGAUAUUUGUGGCAGCAACUGAAUCAAACUGGAAUAUUUGGAAUCUACGCCUUUUGAUGGGACUAUAAACAUCUUUUCACAGCUUCUGAACUACAUCCCAUAAUAUACAUGACCGCAUCCAUCACAGACAGCCAAGAGGCUGCUUCUGGGAUUUUUUUCCAUCCAGUAAUAUCUCUCUGGGUAAGAUGAUACACACGUCACUCACUUCAGGCCAGGGACAGGUGUGUUGUCUUUUGAUUUUUCUGCACACCGGUCUUCACCACCAUGUCUCAUGCCCAGCCUGCAUCAAGAGAUGGCUUGCCCCGAGCCAAUAUGAUUACAGAGGAAAAACAACAAAACCCUCUGACAUGGCUGGCUUUGAUGGGUCUAGUGUUAUUUGCUGCCCCCUUGUGGUCAGACUGGAUUCCCUCAUUCGCCUCUCCAGGACGUAUAGCAGGUUUCUGAAGAGAAAGCUUGGCAGAGUUUUGUUAGGAGGAACAGAGAGAAAGGUUGAAACUGGCGAGAGUUUUAAAUAAGAAAAGACUAAUGAAAUGGUUGCUACACUUGACACUCUCUGACCCUGUAGUCGUCUGUGGCAGGAAAUGGAUGGUUGUCGAGAAUCCGUUUGGGGCGCCGACUCCAGGUCCCUAUAAUUUAUCAUUUUUAUAUAUUCCAUCUUAGACCUUUUUAUAACUUGCACUUGCUUAUCUUAAAUUGCCUUCUCAGACCCUCACAACUCACUUAAGCUCCCAUAUCCUCAGACCUUUAUACAUCUUAAAUUUCUUUCUUAAAGGGCCGAGAUGUGGAGAAGUUGCCCGCCCCUCUCUUCCCUUCCUCCAACAACAGAGUCCCAUUGAGCUUUGUCCUUACCCACCCCACCCAGAAGAGAAACCAAGUUCCCCACCUAAGGUAGUAUUUUAUGUUUUGCUCUUUACUCUGUGACUUGCUAUUGCUAUCUUCCCAGGAGGUCUAAGAGCUCGGUGGUGGUAGAUCAUGUCUCAUGCACUUCCUGGUCUGUAGACCCGGGAGGGGAAUGCUGCAUUCAACAUGCCAUGCAAAUGCAUUUAUUUGCGGAGCCGCUCAAGUCCCCCACCAAAGCCUUCAAGCACGCUUUUGGCUCACUACACUUUUGUUUUAAAUCCACCAAUUUCCAACUGGCCUGGAAGCCGGUGAGCCAGUCAGCGAGUAAAAUUCGUCUCUGCUUUCUGCUUCAAGUUCCCGCUCUGGCUUCCCUCAGUGAUGGAUUCUGUGGUGACAGUUUUAAUUUUAAACACACUUUCCUGGGAGAGAAAUCUGGGCGAAUAAAAGUUCAUGCCACGAAGUUAUAUCCCACAGAUUGGUGAGGGCGGUGAAGAGGUAGAAGGUGCUUCCAAGGUGGUGCCUUUAUAUUUCUAAUUUCAAAAUGAAAACCAAUCGCGAAGAAAAGCCCUCUGCUUUCCCAAGUGUAUCCAUUUCUCCUUAAAAAGGAGAGGAAAAUUCUAGAAGGUUGGAGAACCUGCAGAAACCCCUCUUAGUACAAAAGAGCAGAUGCAACCAAAUUUGAAUGGAGUGAACGUGAGGGGAAAAUACAGCAGAGACAUUUACAUCGACUGUCUGGGAUGCUUCAGAACAUCUUUUCCCGUGCAUCUUGGGAAGUGUUAAAUCAUUUUGGAGUUUGAGGUCUGGAAAGGGAUACUGUGUGGUGGGGUUGGGCAUGUGUGCACAAGGAUGCUUAUGACUAGUAAGAGAAUUCCUUUCCCAUCCUCACAGGACUGCGGAAUCCAGACACACCAAAGUGACACAAAUACAAUACCCAGACUUCACUGUGUGAUGUGUAGGAGAAACUUAAUAAAUGUAGCUCUGACCUCUCA
rnacentral:sRNA from 1 species